UAAACUCCGCUCGUCGCGCAGUCGACUACUUGCCUCGUCAAUCAAGGAUAAUCGUUGAGAGCACAUGAUGCCUGAACGCCGGAAUGUUCGCGGUCGGUCCUCUACUCCUCGUCUGGUACCUGCUUGUCGUCGCGAUCGCGUCUCGAGUAUAAUGAUACGACGACACGCGGGGCGCCGUUCGCCGGUCGGUCGUUUCGGUACGAGAUGCUAAAAAAUCGCGGCAAUCUUCGUGCUCUUGGAAAAAUUCAAUAGUUCAAAUAUUAAAUUGAAGCACCAACAACGUCAGUUAUAUCGAUAAGUAAUAUUUCGUUUUUUUCACGUGAUUAUACGCGUAUAUCCGUUAAUCUCGGGAGUGCCAAGUGCCCUUGCUUUCGUAAAUAAGUAUUGCACGAGAGUAAACGAGAAAAUCUGAGAGAACGAAGAGGAGGAGCAGGAGCAGGUGCGAGGAUGAGGCCUGGGAAGCAAGUGACCAAUACAGUAACUCCGCUGCUGCCCAUCGUAUCAG